UUUGUUUUCCCAUAACAAUAUUACACUUGAAGGCCGUUAUCAUUUGAUGUUAGCUCUACGAAUUGGACAAGAAUUGAUAAUUGAUUCUGAUGGGAAAACAAAUAACCUCUGACGUGUCACUGUGCACUAGCAAGCUUCAUCAAAGUCUUCCAAGUGGCCAGCCACAACUUGUUAUUACUCCUUAAGUCAGAAACAGAUUUAUCAAAUUGCAUAUAGCUCUAACUUUGAUCUUCUGACUUGUUGCAAGGAAGCAAUUGCGCGAGAUCCAAAUGCAAGCUUAAACACAAAUUGCUCUGAACUCCCCAAGAGAAUUGAAUGGGGCAACAGUGUGGAAAUGUUCCAUCUUCCCAUUAAUGUUAAACUUUCAAACAAUUGUUAGUG
rnacentral:misc_RNA from 1 species